AUUGCAUUGAAACACCGGUUCUCCUACGAUCAUCGAAGUUAAGCAACGUCGAGACUGGUCAGUACCUAGAUGGGUGACCGCUUGGGAAUACCAGGUGCCGUG